CAGGAAGUAUAGCGCAAGUUUGUCCAGUGUCUUAAAAACACCAAAGUGCAGUGCACACUAAACCGCUUUCGAGCAGUAUUCGGGGCUAAGUGUAUCCCAUCAUGCAUCACGUUCUGGAUAUAUCAUGAGACAUUUUGCUCGGGUCUGGCGAGACACGAAAUAUCCUUGAACUUUUGACAUUAAUGACGUUCGUCUCGCUAUAAGUAGGUGUUAACGGCUUUGGGUGUAGUUGGUUAAAUUUUCAAAAAUGGUCUAGCACAUAGUUAUGGUGUUUCAAAGUGUAUGUUAAAAAAGAGCUGCAUGGGGAGUGGCACAUAAAUACACAACUGUAAAUUGUGUCAAGGUGUUGCUAUGUGGUUUCAAGGGUGUUGUUGCACUACUGUAUAUUCGGAUGCUUGAUGUUAUGAGUUUCUAAGCCACUUUCUUUCUUCUUUCUGAAAGAAGAGGGAGGGAGGGCAUACGUAUUCUCAACUAUCUCAACAACUGGCUCAUCUUGGCGCACUCGCGAGAUCUGUUGUGUACGCACAGGGACCUCGUGCUCUGGCACCUCGACCGACUGGGCCUGCGGAUCAACUGGGACAAGAGCAAGCUCUUCCCGGAGGAAAGCUUUCCAGUGUGUGUGUGUGUGUGUGUGCUGAGAACCUUAUCUCAACCGCCACACAACUCGCCUUCAUCUCCCAGCAUGCAACGCUCUGAACAGCGCCGUUCUACCUCCAGACAGGUGUAGAGAAGACCCCCAGUACGACGUCUCUGCCCUGCAUGCGUAUGAUGGGACUGGUGGACUGCAGCAGGUUGAAAUAAAAGUGCGAGUCUCCUGGGAUCGAGCAG